rnacentral:rRNA from 1 species
UACGAAGGGGGCUAGCGUUGCUCGGAAUUACUGGGCGUAAAGCGCACGUAGGCGGCUUUCUAAGUCGGGGGUGAAAUCCUGGAGCUCAACUCCAGAACUGCCUUCGAUACUGGAGAGCUCGAGUCCGGGGAGAGGUGAGUGGAACUGCGAGUGUAGAGGUGAAAUUCGUAGAUAUUCGCAAGAACACCAGUGGCGAAGGCGGCUCACUGGCCCGGUACUGACGCUGAGGUGCGAAAGCGUGGGGAGCAAACAGG